AGGACGAACGCUGGUGGCGUGCUUAACACAUGCAAGUCGAACGGUGAAGCCCAGCUUGCUGGGUGGAUCAGUGGCGAACGGGUGAGUAACACGUGAGCAACCUGCCCCCUACUUCGGGAUAAGCCUUGGAAACGAGGUCUAAUACCGGAUAUGAGCACUUACCGCAUGGUGGGUGUUGGAAAGUUUUUCGGUGGGGGAUGGGCUCGCGGCCUAUCAGCUUGUUGGUGGGGUAAUGGCCUACCAAGGCGUCGACGGGUA
rnacentral:rRNA from 1 species